rnacentral:tRNA from 1 species
GGGCGAGUAGUUCAGGGGGAGAAUACCUGAAUGGCAUUCAGGGGGUCGUGGGUUCAAUUCCCACCUCGUCCACCA